UCCCUAAUAGCUCAGUGGUAGAGCAAUCGGCUGUUAACCGAUUGGUCGUUGGUUCGAAACCAGCUUAGGGAG
rnacentral:tRNA from 2 species